UUUUUUUUAACAAUAUAUCCAAAUGAGAGUUACAAAUUUUUUUAAAAAAGUAAAGGUAUAUGAUCAGAGGCAUACCUUUGUAUAUUAGAAAAAUUAUGGAACAUAUACAUUGCUAACUAAGAAUCUGUCCAAUCUAGCUUUUAUGUGAUGAAAAUAUCCCCAAUGUAGCUCAAAUCAUUAAAGCCACGCCGCUGGAUAGUGUCUUUGAACUGGUUAGUAAUACUACUAUCAAUAGGAUUACCUCCAUUUUUUUUCCAGCUUGACACAAAACCAAAUUGAAAUCAACAAAAACUAACCACCUAUUUCUAGAAUUAUCGCUGUACAGCUGACUAAAAAGAUUACAAGUCAGAUGCUUUUUAUUAUCUUGCAAGUAACCACACAAGCAUACCCCUGUUGUCUUUCACUCCUUUGAAUCAUCGCCAGAGGUUUGGGCAGGCUGAAAACAUUGACGAAGAGGUUCCUUUCAAGGCUGCUCAUCUGGUUGAAUCAUUGCAUUAUUACUCCUACAAAAUGCACAAUUCACACAUAAAUAAUAAAUAACAAAAUAAAACAAGAAAGGGAGAAUAAGAACAAUGACUCAAGCAAGUAAUUGAAAAAGGCACAUUGUCUAAGAACACAAAACAAAGAGAAAUAAAUAAACAAUGCAUAAUAAUUAGAAUCAAGCUAAGAAUUAGAGAUAGAAUUAGAGAUGUUAGUCACCGAGUCACAAGAUUCAGAUUCCUCGUAUUAACCCUCACAUUAGCAAAUUAAAAAGGGAAAAAUUAAGCCUAAAUUAGAAACAGUAAAAAAUUUAUCCAUGGGCAUCAUGAAAUUAAGCCAUUUUGCUUUUGACAAACGAAAUAAUAGAAUUGAAUCAAACAACAUAGGAAAUCAAGGGUUCAAGCUUCCCCCAAUUGAAUCAAACAACUCAGGAAAUAAAAGGUUUAAGUUUCCCCCAAUUUUUUUUAUUUCUAGGGUUCAUGCAACAUAGAAUAAUUCCAUACCAACUUUGAAUUGAACCAAAUGAUAAUUUUAAAGAAAAUAAACAAACAAUAAAACAAACAAAUUGAACUCCUGAAGUAAAAGAAUCAAAAUUAAAGGGAACAAAGAAGUGAACUGAAAAAACAUAGAACAAACAAACAAACCUGAAAGUGACUGAGAUCUGAGAGAGUAAGAUAGCAGAUGCCUAGCGCCUCCACCGCGCCAGAGACUGAGACUCAAGAGCCUCAUAGCAUGGCCGUCGCCGAAGUUGAAGAGCCCAGUGAAGGGGUGCUAGAGAGAGUUCGCGAGAGACGGGAGGUGAAUGGAGAGGGGGUACCAGAGAAGGACAAAGCAUGUAAAAAACAAUUGUAUCAAGGGCAUUAUAGU
rnacentral:lncRNA from 1 species